UGCUCGUCGAGCAGAGCAGGUACGAGACAGCUGUGCUUCUCUGAUGUUAGCGGCGGACGGGUCGGAGCUAAUACCGGAUAAUAUUUUGAACCGCAUGGUUCAAAAGUGAAAGACGGUCUUGCUGUCACUUAUAGAUGGAUCCGCGCUGCAUUAACUCCAAGGGCAACGAUGCAUAGCCGACCUGAGAGGGUGAUCGGCCACACUGGAACUGAGACACGGUUCCAGACUCCUACGGGAGGCAGCAGUAGGGAAUCUUCCGCAAUGGGCGAAAGCCUGACGGAGCAACGCCGCGUGAGUGAUGAAGGUCUUCGGAUCGUAAAACUCUGUUAUUAGGGAAGAACAUAUGUGUAAGUAACUGUGCACAUCUUGACGGUACCUAAUCAGAAAGCCACGGCUAACUACGUGCCAGCAGCCGCGGUAAUACGUAGGUGGCAAGCGUUAUCCGGAAUUAUUGGGCGUAAAGCGCGCGUAGGCGGUUUUUUAAGUCUGAUGUGAAAGCCCACGGCUCAACCGUGGAGGGUCAUUGGAAACUGGAAAACUUGAGUGCAGAAGAGGAAAGUGGAAUUCCAUGUGUAGCGGUGAAAUGCGCAGAGAUAUGGAGGAACACCAGUGGCGAAGGCGACUUUCUGGUCUGUAACUGACGCUGAUGUGCGAAAGCGUGGGGAUCAAACAGGAUUAGAUACCCUGGUAGUCCACGCCGUAAACGAUGAGUGCUAAGUGUUAGGGGGUUUCCGCCCCUUAGUGCUGCAGCUAACGCAUUAAGCACUCCGCCUGGGGAGUACGACCGCAAGGUUGAAACUCAAAGGAAUUGACGGGGACCCGCACAAGCGGUGGAGCAUGUGGUUUAAUUCGAAGCAACGCGAAGAACCUUACCAAAUCUUGACAUCCUUUGACAACUCUAGAGAUAGAGCCUUCCCCUUCGGGGGACAAAGUGACAGGUGGUGCAUGGUUGUCGUCAGCUCGUGUCCGUGAGAUGUUGGGUUAAGUCCCGCAACGACCCCAACCCUUAAGCUUAGUUGCCAUCAUUAAGUUGGGCACCCUAAGAUUGGACUGCCGGUGACAAACCGGAGGAAGGUGGGGGAUGACGGCAAAGCAUCAUGCCCCUUAUGAUUUGGGCUACACACGUGCUACAAUGGACAAUACAAAGGGCAGCGAAACCGCGAGGUCAAGCAAAUCCCAUAAAGUUGUUCUCAGUUCGGAUUGUAGUCUGCAACUCGACUACAUGAAGCUGGAAUCGCUAGUAAUCGUAGAUCAGCAUGCUACGGUGAAUACGUUCCCGGGUCUUGUACACACCGCCCGUCACACCACGAGAGUUUGUACCACCGAAAGCCUCCUGAGUCACGAAGUCGUAACAACUGAC
rnacentral:rRNA from 1 species